rnacentral:lncRNA from 1 species
GAAAAAGUUCCAGGUCACAUAACACAGUGCUUGUUCCUGGGACAGUAAGGGUUCUCUCUUACUAAUUUAGUGAUAUGCGUGGAAGCAAGCUGCAUUUUUAGUUCAUCAGCUCAAAAAAAAUCGUUAUGUUGAUUAAAGUGCUAUUUCAUUACAGAAGACUUAGAAAUGCUCCAACAUCUGCUGCUAAAGAAGAGCAGUUGGGAUCGAGAAAAUAGCUCCUAAUACAUGCCUUGAUCUGACUUCAGAAGUUUCUUUGUUAUCAUCUGCCUGCAGGAGACAUUCUGUGGAGGUUCUGUGAAUUGCAUCGGGCAGCAUGAGCUGCUGAGCUGGCAUUUGAAUUAAAUGAUGUCCAAUGCAAAGUGAAAAAUGAGACUGCACUGAUCAGCCACAGAACGCACUGCUCCUUCACGAGGACCUCGCCGAUUCAGCUCCGUGAAAAUGUUCCAGUACCCUAAUCUGUUGACAAGAUCAUGGUGAUGCUUUCAAAUGCCUGAGCUGCCUUCUAACCAGGUGAGUGUUCACAGAGUUUACAAAGGCAUUGACUGUGGUUUUCUGACAAGCCUAGCUUCUAAGUAUCU